UGCAACCCGACUCCAUGAAGCUGGAUUCGCUAGUAAUCGCGCAUCAGCCACGGCGCGGUGAAUACGUUCCCGGGCCUUGUACACACCGCCCGUCAAGCCAUGGAAGCCGGGAGUGCCUGAAGUGCGUGAGCGCAAGCAGCGCCCUAAGGUAAAACCGGUGACUGGGGCUAAGUCGUAACAAGGUAUC
rnacentral:rRNA from 1 species